UGUUGUGUGCUGUGCUUUUCUUAACUUGAGACCUACUUGGAUAUCUUCCUACAGUAAUAGAAAUCUUACCCUACGAUAUCGCCUCUCAUCCUCCCGAGUCACAUUUCAUGCCCGAUCCACCUCCAUCUGGAGCUCCACCUCACUUUGAGCUCCACCUGGCUUUUGAAGCUCCACCUCACACUGGGCUCUCCAUCAGGUAGUAAUAUCC
rnacentral:lncRNA from 1 species